GUGGGCGUGCCAGAGUGGUUAACAGGCAUGACUAGAAAUCAUGUGGGCUUUGCCCGUGCAGGUUUGAAUCCUGCCGAUCAAG
rnacentral:tRNA from 1 species